rnacentral:rRNA from 1 species
GACGAACCGAGCGAACGUUAUUCGGAAUCACUGGGCUUAAAGGGCGCGUAGGCGGGCUGCCAAGUCAAGGGUGAAAGCCCCCGGCUCAACCGGGGAAGUGCCUCUGAUACUGGCGGCCUCGAGGGAGGUAGGGGCGUGCGGAACUUCCGGUGGAGCGGUGAAAUGCGUAGAUAUCGUUUGGAACGCCAAAGGUGAAAACAGACAGCUGGGAGUGUGCUGACGCUGAGACACGAAAGCCAGGGGAGCGAACGGG